CAUCUAUGCCGCCGCCGACGACGGCCUGGCUCCUCCUCCACCCAUGCGCCCCCUCCCAAUCUCCAUAGCCUCCAACAACCAACUCCAUCUCCUGCCUCCUGCAACUAGUCCUGCCAGUGCGCCGCGUCCGCCGCCGGUGAAUGCCGUCCACAAGGACUGCCCCUGGCCCCUCUGCUCCGGCGCUCCUCGGUCGUCCCCGGCCCUUUGCCUGGUCGCUAGGGACGUGCUGCUCCACGCCUGCUCCUGCCGGUGGCCGCCGCCUUCCGCGCCGGCUCUGGCGCUUUGCUCCUGCCAAUCCCGGGCUGCUCGCCUGCUCGGCCGGACUCUGCCGCCCAGGACAGGAUUUGCUGUCAACAAACAGCAAGCAGGCUGGGACAGGGAAAAAGAAGAGGAAGAUAUAUUUCAUUGCAAGUUUCAACACCCAGUGUUUCAGUUGGACUGAAUCAACUCCACAAAUUGGAACAACCAUAGAUUGGACCACCGCCUUUGGCUUCAAACAACCCGCCUUCAAUCUCAACUCGAGAAAGUACCUCUUUUGUAUCCCAUACUCUUUUCUUGAAGUUUUUGGCAUGUUUUUAUCUAUUUUGUUGUAUCAUUAAGAAUUGAGUUUAAAUUCUAGAGAGACAUACCAUUUGUCUGGAAGUAUCAAGCAUUGGAUGUAAAGUGGACAACCUAUUCAGUACUGAAACAAUAUAUGUAGCAUGUAUGAAGCUGAAUCAUGCUUAUAACACUGAAGAGCACAGUAACUUCCAUAAUGCAAGUAAGUAGCUGCAAUCUUCCAGGAUUUUUUAUAAAUAAAUCAGCAACAUGCCACUCACCUAAGUUGUCUUUUCAGCGUAUCCUACCAUGCGCCAAUGAGGCAAGUGGUAGUGUAUCCUAAAAAUCCCCUUUUCCUGAAGGUGUAAACACAUGCAGCAACUGAUCGUGUGCAUUAGAAUGCACUGUUUGAUAAUUACUCUCUUAGGCCCUGCUUGCUAACUUUGUAAAAAUAUGCGACCGGCUACCCUUCAACAAUUGCAAGUCACUUGGGGACUGUUUGGUUUCCAGCCAAAUGUUGCCAGACCUAUGGUUAGGCACACAUAAUUUCUGAGGUGAGUGAGUGUUCGGUUGGCUGACACAGUUGUGGCUUGCGACUUUACUAGUCACAUGAUUAAGGAGUAUAUUUUGGCCACACUUUUGUGGCAAGCCACACUCUGUCCUGAGGGGUAACAAUUACUACUUUUGGCUUAGUUGUGGCAAAGUAAGCUUUUAACCAAACUAGGGUGUUAAAUUGGUCUUAAGUUUCAAUCUAGUAUUGUAGAUCAUCACAUAUGUUCUCUGUUUCUUGUUCAAUGAUGUUUUAUCUGACUUGUUAAUCAGUCCAACUUAAUAUCCCUUUUCCUGUUAUCCUUAGAACAAAUAGAUAUGACGUGUAUGCAGUGCAGCCCACUAAUUAUUUAGAUUCCAUUGCAAACGCCCUUUUAUACAUGCUUUUCAUUUUUCAUUCAGGUGGCUGCACAUAUCCUCCAGGUUUCUGUAAUUGGGAAGGAGUGUAUUUCCAGUAUGGUGAUAACUGUAUAUAUAAUAAUACUGACUGUGAUCAUUGGCCUUUUUUUACCUUCUGUUGUACCUUGAUUUUUGUAUAUGGUGCUUACCUGAGAUGCACAAGAUCAUCAAUAACAUGAUGAUAUAAAGCAGGGAAAUUAACACAGUUGUUUUUUAAAGCACCCUAUUAUAUGGUUUUUAUGCUCAGUUUGGAUACUUAGAUAGUCCAACAAUCUUAGUAGUUUUGCAGAAGGAAAGAAGUCCCUACAUCAAUUAGAAAGAGUAAAUAUUUCUAGAUAAUUGAAGGCCCUGCAUAUAUAAUAUCAAUCAUGUGUCCUAUUUUAUAUUUUUGUUUUUUCAUGUGGUGUGUGUUUCCUUUUCGAUGUAGCCAGAGUUGGGAUUAGGGGGAGAAAGAUGGCAGCAUAUGUGCAAUUGUAUUGAACUGAGUGGCGUCUUUGCAUACUAGUUAAACCUACAAUGGCACAUUUCUUUUGAUGUUUUUCAAUUCAAGGUUGAUGAAAUAUUUUAGGAUCCAAUCAUUGAAUUAAAAUAUCUAUGUAUUCCAUGCUUUUCUUGCAAAAAGAUUUAAAUCAGCUUUCAUCUCUUAAAUAACACAUGUGAAGUUAUACACUGACAUAUGUUUUUUUUGUUUAAUUACUUCGGCAUAUCAAAGGGCGAUGGAUCGAGGUUGGAUGAGUCAACCAAGAGCUAGUGCUGCUUACAAAGAUGGUGUCGAACAAUUUUUGUCUUUUGCAUUCCAUGAUGUUCCAGCUGGUGAUAGAAUUCUCUGUCCUUGUGUAAAUUGCCGAAAUAAAGCUAUGCAGAGUUAUGAUGGAGUGAAAACUCACUUGAGAUGUGAUGGUAUUCUUCAAGGUUACACUAAGUGGGUUUGCCAUGUAGAGGAUUACAGUGAACCAUCAUUUGGAUUUGCUCAUGUAUCAGAUAACAGUGGCAAUUUUUCUAUUCCUGGCAUCCCAAGGAAUGUUGUUGGAGAAGGCAACCAUGGAAGGAUGGAUGACAUGCCAGGACUCUUAAGUGCUGUCUUUGCUAUGGCUAAUAGUUGUGAAUCUUUAUCAAGCACAUCUGAUGGUGAAUUAGAUGCGUUGAAUUUGAGAAUAUGGUACCUAAUUCAGUUGAGGAUGAGAAUGCAGAUGCUCAAACAAGGAAGAAACCUAAUACGUAUGCAAGCUUCUUGGAGGAUGCAAACACAGAGUUAUACCCUGGAUGUAAAGCAUUUUCUAAGUUGUCAUUUCUCAUCACCUUGUAUCACAUGAAAUGCUUACAUGGAUGGUCACAAGAAUCA